ensembl:lncRNA
AUGGAUGUAUUAAGAAACGUUGACAUUUUGAAACCCCGAAUUAAAAGAUCGAGGAGUAUACUCGAAAGAGAAGAAAUAGAUACAGAGUACCAUCCCAAUAAGCAUCAUAACAAUAGUAGUAAUAAUAACAAGCAGAUAGUACCACAUGAUAGUAUUUUAAAAAAUACUUCAUUGUGUUAUGCAUGGAACGCAUAUUUUGAAAAACAGAAAGUAAAAAAGAAUAUUAUGAUUUAUUGUGAUUUAAAUAAGAUAUGUACAGAAAUAUGUAAAGGAGUUGAAAAUAACAAUUUGACUAUUAAGAAUUUUGCAUUUUUACUUAUUGGUGUUUGUAAUAUAUAUAAAAAGAAAUUAUAUUUUAUUGGUCAGGAUUAUGAAUUAUUGAAAAGGAAAAUAUUUUCUUUGUAUAAAAGUAAAGAUGAUGAUGAUAACGAUUUAAUGAAUUCGAAAGAUAAAAGGAAAAGAAAAAUAGGUAAUAAAAAUAAUGAUGAUACAACUGGGAAUAAUAAUAAUAAAAAAAGGUUGAAUAGAACAUCUUUGAAUAUAAAAAGAGGUUCACUUAAUUUGAGUAAUAUAAUGAUACCAACAGUAUUUGAUGAUUUUCGUAUUAGAAAAUCAAGAUUUUCUUUAAAUGCGGACGAAAUUAGUAUAGCUGGAGUGGAAGAUAAUAAUUACAUUGAUUCAUAUAACGACAAUGAGAUGAAUAAUCAAUUACUUAUGGAUAUAUCUGGUAUUAAUUCAAUGAAUUUUGAUAACGAUAAUAAUGAUUUUAUGAACAAUAAUCUUAUGAACAAUAAUCUUAUGAACAAUAAUCUUAUGAACAAUAAUNNNNNNNNNNAUCUUAUGAACAAUAAUCUUAUGAACAAUAAUCUUAUGAACAAUAAUAUUAUGAACAGUAAUAUUAUGAACAGUAAUAAUUAUCAUUCAUAUGAUAUGGAAAAUGUAUUAGAUGGUUCUUAUGUAUCACGUAAUAGUAUUCAAUCAAAUCAAUUUGAUAAUUUACCUUUAAAUAAAUCUUUAUCACAAUCUUUUCAUCUUAUGGAUAGUUUAAAUGUAGAUAAUUCGUUACUAAAUAAUAUGAUUCCUAAAAAUGCUUUUAACAAUAUGGAAAACAGUUUAAAUGAAAAAAGUAUGUUAGGAGGUGAAUACAGCAAUUUAGAUUUGAACGAUUUACAUAAAACGGAUGAUAGUAAUACGUUAUCAAUGAAUAUGUACAAUAGUGCAGAACGUGAAAACAUGAAUAAUAGUAUGAACAAUAGUAUGAACAAUAGUAUGAANNNNNNNNNNAAUAGUAUGAAUAAUAGUAUGAACAAUAGUAUGAACAAUAGUAUGAAUUUUAUACAUGAUAAAUAUAAACGGGCAAGUGUUAUGAGCAACAGUAAUACUUUUCAAAUGAACAAUCCAUUUAAUGAUAUUACUGUUCAUCCAAAUGAACCUGGUUUGGAUUUGAAACGAAGCAGAUUAAGUAUUGACAGUAAUAACAUAAAUAAUGAAAAUAUGAUAAAUCUUGUUAAUAAUAAUGGCGGGUUAAAUAUGUCUAACAAUUUUCAAAAAUUUGGAACCACUGGUUUUGAUAAUAUGUAUGGUAGUAACUUUGUUGGAGGUUAUAGUAACAGGAUUCGUACUUCGGUAACUCCAAGAGGAGAUGAUUUUUAUAAUUUUAAUCCAUACAUGAAUUCAAUGAACAUGUAUGAUCCAAAUAAUAUAAAUCUUAUGAAUAAUUAUCAUCAUCAAGAUUUUACACAAAGAAUGCAUAUAAACAAUUUUAAUGAUAUUGAUGAUAGUGGAAGUAAUAAUGUUAUGAUGGGAAGUAUGUUCAGUUUAAUGAAAAAAAAGAAAGCACCAAAAAAAAAUGAUUUUACAAAUUUAUUAAAUUAUGAAACAUAUCAUAAUUUUGAUUAUUUUGAUCAAAAAGAUGACGAUGCUUUUAUUCAAAAGUUGAAUGCUUUGCUUGGUUUAGAUGAGAAUGAAAAGGAGGAUGGAAACCAGAAAGUAGAAGAGAAAGAAGAAGAAGAAGAAAAGGGAUCGGUUGUAAAUGAAAACGUAAAUGGUACGCUUGCUACUGUAACACCUAUAAAGGAUGGUUCUACUAUAAAUAAUGAAUCAAACGAAAAAGAAGAUUCAAAAACUGCAGAUAAUGAGAAAAAAGAAACGGAUGAAUUGGCUAUUUUUAAUAAACAUGGAAAUAAUACUACAACACCAAGUAUGAGAAAAAAAAAAACAGAAAAACAUGUGGUUGAUAAAAGUUGUAUCAUUAAAGAUAGACAACUUAAAAGUAUAUUAAAAAACGAAAGUGUAGAUUAUAAAAACUUUUUGGUUAAUAGCAUACAAAAUGAAAUAUGUGAAAAGAUACAAAAAGAAUAUCCAUUAUAUCAAUAUUUUUAUAUGCAUACAACUAAUGAAAAAAAUAUAAAACAUUUGCAAUUUUAUAGAUUGGAAACAAAUUUUGGAUAUUAUUCAACAAAUCAUAGUGAUAGAAAACAUAUAUUAGAACAAUGUUUAAAUUGUCCAUUAACUCCAAAUUAUGACUAUUAUGAGUUUAAACAUAAAAAUGACAGAUAUUCGAUUGAGGAUGAAAGUAGAGAUGACACUAGUGUCUCCCAAACUACUACAAGUCAUAGCCUUGCUGAUGAUUAUAACGAUGAUUUUUUUUUAUAUAACUUAAAUGAACCUAUGUUUGAUAAUGACAUGUUUUUAUCUUUGGGAAAGGGACUAAAUGGAGGUGAACUAAGUGGAGAUGAAUUGGGCCAAGAUGAAUUAGGCCAAGAUGAAUUAGGUCGAGACCACCUAAGCCGAGAUGAUAAUGAUCAUAUGAAUUUUGAAGAAGUAAGAGAACAAUUCAAUGACAUAGAUUAUGAUAUGAACAAUCCAAGUAUGAAUCCAAAUGAUUAUAAAAAUAGAUCCAGUUUAAUGGACCCAAUGUUAUCUCAAACUGAUUAUUUAAAUGAUAUGAAUUUUAAAGAUACUAUCGAAUCAAAGAUGUUUUUGGAUAGUCAAAUGACAAAAAGUAUGAUAUUAAGUAAAGAAGAUAUAGAUAACAAUAGUCCUUAUAAUAAUAUAAGUGUUACAAGUGUUACAAAUGUUAAUACAAAUGAUGAUAUAUCAAAUAUAAAUACGAUAAGUGAUAAAUUAAAUUGGGAAUUUAAAGAUAGUAAUUCUGUUGAACAUCCUCAUUUAACCACUCCAUUAAAUAAUAACUUAAGUAAUAGUAAUAUAUUCAAUAAAUAUAAUGAAAGUGAAUUAUUAGAAGAAAAUAGUAAUGACAUAUAUAGAAAUGGAAGUGCAAGUGUAGCAAUAGAUAUAGAUGUUAAUAUAAAUAUGAAUCAAGACUUUGAUUGUUUAGCAAAAGAAUUAUUAGACAAUUAUAAAAAAUUAUCUACACAAAUAAAUUAUAUUUUUUUUGAUAUGAUUAUUAAAAAUGUACAAUCAAAAAAUGAUAUAGCAACUUUGUUUUAUACUACUUUACAUUUAGCAAACAUGGGACAUGUACAUAUUUUACAAAAGCCUAUACUCCCAACUCAGUUGGAGAAUAAUAAUCUUGAAGAAAAUAUGUCACGACCAAUAUUGAUACAAUACGCUGACAAGAGGAGAGCUAAAUAG